rnacentral:rRNA from 1 species
UAUUGGACAAUGGGCGAAAGCCUGAUCCAGCAAUGCCGCGUGAGUGAUGAAGGCCUUAGGGUUGUAAAGCUCUUUUACCCGGGAUGAUAAUGACAGUACCGGGAGAAUAAGCUCCGGCUAACUCCGUGCCAGCAGCCGCGGUAAUACGGAGGGAGCUAGCGUUGUUCAGAAUUACUGGGCGUAAAGCGCACGUAGGCGGCUUUGUAAGUUAGAGGUGAAAGCCUGGAGCUCAACUCCAGAAUUGCCUUUGAUACUGCAUCGCUUGAAUCCAGGAGAGGUGAGUGGAAUUCCGAGUGUAGAGGUGAAAUUCGUAGAUAUUCGGAAGAACACCAGUGGCGAAGGCGGCUCACUGGACUGGUAUUGACGCUGAGGGCGAAG